GGUAGGGGAGCGUUCCUGCAGCAGUGAAGUCAGACCGGAAGGACUGGUGGAGCGGCAGGAAGUGAGAAUGCCGGUGUAAGUAGCGAAAAGAGAGGUGAGAAUCCUCUCCGCCGAAAGCCUAAGGGUUCCUGGGGAAGGCUCGUCCUCCCAGGGUUAGUCGGGACCUAAGCCGAGGCUGAAAAGCGUAGGCGAUGGACAACAGGUGGAAAUUCCUGUACUACCUCCACUCCGUUUGAGCAACGGGGGGACGCAGGAGGGUAGGGUGAGCAGACUGUUGGAUAUGUCUGUCCAAGCAGUGAGGCGUGUGUAUAGGCAAAUCCGUACACUGUAACGCCAGGCUGUGAUGGCGAGCGAAAUUGUAGUAGCGAAGUCCCUGAUCUCACACUGCCAAGAAAAGCCUCUAGCGAGGAGUGAGGUACCCGUACCGCAAACCGACACAGGUAGGCGAGGAGAGAAUCCUAAGGCGCGCGAGAAAACUCUUGCUAAGGAACUCGGCAAAAUGACCCCGUAACUUCGGGAGAAGGGGUGCCCCGGUAGCGUGUCAAAGCGCGAGGGGGCCGCAGUGAAAAGGCCCAAGCGACUGUUUAGCAAAAACACAGGUCUCUGCGAAGCCGCAAGGCGAAGUAUAGGGGCUGACGCCUGCCCGGUGCUGGAAGGUUAAGGGGAAAGGUUAGCACCUUCGGUGCGAAGCUUUGAACCGAAGCCCCAGUAAACGGCGGCCGUAACUAUAACGGUCCUAAGGUAGCGAAAUUCCUUGUCGGGUAAGUUCCGACCCGCACGAAAGGCGUAACGACUUGGGCACUGUCUCGGCAAGAGACUCGGUGAAAUCAUACUACCUGUGAAGAUGCAGGUUACCCGCGACAAGACGGAAAGACCCCAUGGAGCUUUACUGCAGCCUGAUAUUGAAUGCUGGUAUUGUUUGUACAGGAUAGGUGGGAGCCGUUGAAGCCGGACCGUCAGGUUCGGUGGAGGCGUCCUUGGGAUACCACCCUGACAAUGCUGGCCUUCUCACUUGCAUCCCUCACCGGGAUGAAGGACCGUGUCAGGCGGGCAGUUUGACUGGGGCGGUCGCCUCCUAAAAGGUAACGGAGGCGCCCAAAGGUUCCCUCAGAAUGGUUGGAAAUCAUUCGCAGAGUGUAAAGGCACAAGGGAGCUUGACUGCGAGACCUACAAGUCGAGCAGGGACGAAAGUCGGGCUUAGUGAUCCGGUGGUUCCGCAUGGAAGGGCCAUCGCUCAACGGAUAAAAGCUACCCUGGGGAUAACAGGCUUAUCUCCCCCAAGAGUCCACAUCGACGGGGAGGUUUGGCACCUCGAUGUCGGCUCAUCGCAUCCUGGAGCUGAAGUAGGUUCCAAGGGUUGGGCUGUUCGCCCAUUAAAGCGGUACGCGAGCUGGGUUCAGAACGUCGUGAGACAGUUCGGUCCCUAUCUGUCGUGGGCGCAGGAAAUUUGAGAGGAGCUGUCCUUAGUACGAGAGGACCGGGAUGGACGCACCGCUGGUGCACCAGUUGUUCCGCCAGGAGCACAGCUGGGUAGCUAUGUGCGGUCGGGAUAAGCGCUGAAAGCAUCUAAGCGUGAAGCCCCCCUCAAGAUGAGAUUUCCCACAGCAUAAGCUGGUAAGACCCCUUAAAGAUGAUGAGGUAGAUAGGUUCGGGGUGGAAGCGUGGCAACACGCGGAGCUGACGAAUACUAAUCGGUCGAGGGCUUAACCAAA
rnacentral:rRNA from 1 species